rfam:Felis catus isolate Cinnamon breed Abyssinian chromosome B1, whole genome shotgun sequence.
GCUCAGUUGGUUAAGGAUCUGACUCUUGAUUUUGGCUCAAAUCAUGAUCUCACCAUUUGUGGGUUUGAGUCCCACAUUGGGCU